rnacentral:rRNA from 1 species
UACGUAGGGGGCUAGCGUUGUUCGGAAUUAUUGGGCGUAAAGGGCGCGUAGGCGGUGCGGUAAGUCACCUGUGAAACCUCUAGGCUCAACCUAGAGCCUGCAGGCGAAACUGCCGUGCUUGAGGGUGGGAGAGGUGCGUGGAAUUCCCGGUGAGCGGUGAAAUGCGUAGAGUAUCGGGAGGAACACCUGUGGCGAAAGCGGCGCACUGGACCACAUCUGACGCUGAGGCGCGAAAGCUAGGGGAGCAAACAGG